rnacentral:rRNA from 1 species
AACGAACGCUGGCGGCAUGCCUAACACAUGCAAGUCGAACGGGAUCCUAGCUUGCUAGGUGAGAGUGGCGGACGGGUGAGUAACACGUGGGAACCUGCCUUUUGGUUCGGGAUAACCGCGGGAAACUGCGGCUAAUACCGGAUGUACCCGAGAGGGGAAAGAUUUAUCGCCAGAAGAGGGGCCCGCGUCCGAUUAGGUAGUUGGUGGGGUAAAGGCCUACCAAGCCGACGAUCGGUAGCUGGUCUGAGAGGAUGAUCAGCCACACUGGGACUGAGAUACGGCCCAGACUCCUACGGGAGGCAGCAGUGGGGAAUAUUGGACAAUGGGGGCAACCCUGAUCCAGCAAUGCCGCGUGAGUGAUGAAGGCCUUAGGGUUGUAAAGCUCUUUUGCCAGGGAAGAUGAUGACUGUACCUGGAGAAUAAGCCCCGGCUAACUUCGUGCCAGCAGCCGCAGUAACAC